UCCCUUGCUAUGGCUGUCUACUGUCAAAAGGCUGCUUUUCUUCUACAAGUAUGGUCUAUCCACUCAGGUCUGAGCGUUAAAUUUUGACUCUUUUGUUACACUGGGGGAGAACUGCACUGCAGUUUAGGAGCUGGAAUGGAGGAAACUGAAUUAUAAUUGUGUCACUUGAGGAGAUACCUCCAAUCAAAAGGCCUUGGUUCUGCCCAGAUCUGAUCUACACUGAUGCUAGCGAACCAUCAAAACAAACAACAAAGUGGUGACACAAUAACCCAUACAAUUCAUUGUUGGCACAUUAUUUACUACAGUUCUGAUCUAGACUGAUGAAAACUUAGCCAUCAAUUGAGCCUUGAACCUUAUUUCAAGUGCAUUGAUACAAUCUGGGGUCAUUUCCAGCAGGAAAAUGUGAAUAAAAGAAAUUAA